AGUGGCGCACGGGUGAGUAACACGUGGGUAACCUGCCCUCGAGCCUGGGAUACCCCCUCGAAAGGGGGGCUAAUACCGGAUACGCUCCUCGGGUCGCGAGAUCAGAGGAGGAAAGGUGGCGCAAGCUGCCGCUCUUGGAGGGGCUCGCGGCCUAUCAGCUAGUUGGCGAGGUAACGGCUCACCAAGGCGAUGACGGGUAGCUGGUCUGAGAGGACGACCAGCCACACGGGGACUGAGACACGGCCCCGACUCCUACGGGAGGCAGCAGUGGGGAAUUUUCCGCAAUGGGCGAAAGCCUGACGGAGUGACGCCGCGUGGGGGAUGAAGGCCUUCGGGUUGUAAACCCCUGUCAGAGGGAACGAGGGGAGCCGGCGUAAAUAGCGUCGGCUCUUGACGGUACCUUCAGAGGAAGCCCCGGCCAACUCUGUGCCAGCAGCCGCGGUAAGACAGAGGGGGCAAGCGUUGCUCGGAAUCACUGGGCGUAAAGGGCGUGUAGGCGGGAGCGUGAGUCGGUCGUGAAAGCCUUCGGCUCAACCGAAGAAGGGCGGCCGAUACUGCGUUCCUUGAGGGGUGGAGAGGAGACUGGAAUUCCCGGUGUAGCGGUGAAAUGUGUAGAUAUCGGGAGGAACACCGGUGGCGAAGGCGGGUCUCUGGCCACACCCUGACGCUGAGGCGCGAAAGCGUGGGGAGCAAACGGGAUUAGAUACCCCGGUAGUCCACGCGGUAAACGAUGACGACUAGGUGUGGGGGGGGUUCAGUCCCUUCCGUGCCGCAGCUAACGCAUUAAGUCGUCCGCCUGGGGAGUACGGCCGCAAGGUUGAAACUCAAAGGAAUUGACGGGGGCCCGCACAAGCGGUGGAGCAUGUGGUUCAAUUCGAUGCAACGCGAAGAACCUUACCUGGGCUU
rnacentral:rRNA from 1 species